GACGAACGCUGGCGGCGUGCUUAACACAUGCAAGUCGAACGAAGUGGCGAACGGGUGAGUAACGCGUAAUCAACCUGCCCUUCAGAGGGGGACAACAGUUGGCAACGACUGCUAAUACCGCAUACUGAAGGAGGGGAUUGCGUCUGAUUAGCUAGUGGGAGGGGUAACGACCCACUAAGGCGAUGAUCAGUAGCCGGUAUGAGAGGAUGAACGGCCACAUUGGAACUGAGACACGGGCCAAACUCCUACGCGAGGAAGCAGUGGGGAGUCGUCCGCAAUGGACGAAAGUCUGACGGAGCAACGCCGCGUGAGUGAUGACGGCCUUCGGGUUGUAAAGCUCUGUUAAUCGGGACGCGGUGCCGGAAUAGAAAGCCACGGCUAACUACGUGCCAGCCGCCGCGGUAAUAC
rnacentral:rRNA from 1 species